CUCUUCUAUAUUCUUUGAUAUCUCCGAAGAAAACCCAAAUCUUCUUGGAGUGAAACUCCGGCGGCGAGUCAUCUCCAGUCAACCGAGACGGUGUCUUGUCCUCCUCUCCAAUAUUCAGAGGCUGCGGCGUGUUUUCUAGAAGGCGGCGGCGGGUCAAGUUUCGGCGAGUUCACAAUUGAUCAAGCCAUAAAAGUCAGAGUCAAUUGAUCGAACAUGCCAAGUCUGGGCCAAUUGAUCGAUCAAGCAAAGUCAGAACCAUGCAUCUGUACAAAGGUCCUUGGGGUGCUCUUUCACCGAUGCCCGAGAUCAAUGCCAUUUCUGUUGAUUCUGAGAUUAACUGUUCAGUCGUUCCUCAUUUUUCGUUUAUAAUAGUCAGGAAGUGUAUUUACGGCGGCGGGUGAUUCUUCUGCAUAUUGCUGGGACGUGGAGAGUGGUAAAUCAAAAUAACCUUCAAGGGGUAUUCAGACUAUUUGCAUUGUGUAAUUUCACGUAGUUCUGCCAGCCAGAUAUUGACGGGGUCAGAGGAUAGGACUGCAAGAAUCUAGGGUAUCUUUCUCGUGCCCGUUUUUCUUUCUGCUGUAAUUUCUAGUAUUAUGUUUGGAUCAUAUGUGGUUGAAAUCAUUUGCGUCUUCAUGUUGCUACUUGAGAUCCAAUGCUCCUCAGUUUUGUUGUCAGCUUCUCGAAA